rnacentral:rRNA from 1 species
GCGCCGUAUCAGGUUGUAGGGGGUGUAAAGUACCCUCUAGCCAUCAACGCGUACGGGUGUUGGGAGACAUUGCCCGGAGAUGGAUUCUGAGACACGAAUCCAGACCCUACGGGGUGCAGCAGACGCGAAAACUUGGCAAUGCGAGAAAUCGUGACCAGGGAACUCCAAGUGCGUAGGGUAAGACCUACGCUUUUCUUGACUCUUCAAAGGUCUUGGAAUAAGGGGUGGGUAAGGACGGUGCCAGCCGCCGCGGUAAUACCGGCGCCUCAAGUGGUAGUCGCUUUUAUUGGGCCUAAAACGUCCGUAGCCGGUCUGGUGCAUUCGUGGGUAAAUCAACCCGCUCAACAGGGUUGAAUUCUGCGAGCACGGCCAGACUUGGGACCGGGAGAGGUGUGGGGUACUCUCAGGGUAGGGGUAAAAUCCUGUCAUCCUGAGAGGACCACCUGUUGCGAAGGCGCCACACUAGAACGGAUCCGACGGUCAGGGACGAAACCUAGGGGCACGAACCGGAUUAGAUACCCGGGUAGUCCUAGGUGUAAACGCUGUGGACUUGAUGUUGGGGGCGCUCCGAGCGCUCUCAGUGUCGAAGCGAAGGUGAUAAGUCCACUGCCUGGGGAGUACGGUCGCAAGGCUGAAACUCA